rnacentral:lncRNA from 1 species
AAAGAAAUAUUACUCCAGCCAGGCUGCCUGCAAUACCUUCUUAAGGAACAAAAGCUGACUCCUAGCACUCAAGUGGGAAGGAGUGGGAGCAUGAAGGAAGGACCAAUGGAGGCUGUGGCACAAUCAACAUGCGGUAGCCCCAGAGGAGCCGUAAGGAUGACUAUCACUGUGAAAACACCUGAUGAUAGCAGGUUACCACACAGGAUUUGUUCUACUCGGAUUUAAAGCAUCCAGGAGUUUGUCCCCCAUUUUCUGAUAUACAAAUUCUGGGCACAAGCAAGUCUCUGUUAGAAAAGAGCCUCUUGUGUUAAAUCACCACUUCUGCGUGGAAGCAUUUGAAGGAGGAGCAGAAGGCAGAAGAAAAUAGGCGAUUCCUUUAUUAUUUCCUCAGAAGUCCUCAAGGUGAGAAAACUCUCUGGUCACUGUUGGAGUCAAGUUAAUAGUGUAUAAAACAAUGCAGAAGAGGCCUGUUACCAAUUGUAGGCUCGGCGCUCUUGAAGACUUCAAGCCCUCUCCUCAAAUUAAAAGCGCCUUCUGAUUUGAGACGAACGCUCUGCUAUCAUGCUGACUGGAGUCUGAGUUCGACAAUGUAACUUGGGGCAGCUCCAUUUAAGUCAAUAACAUCACUUCUGGGACCAACCAACGUAAGCAAGAUCAGAAUCGGAUCCCGUGUAUCUUCAAACAUCGACAUAUUCCCCA